rnacentral:lncRNA from 1 species
CUUAUCUCUAAUUAACCCUUACACUAAGGGGCUAUAUAGCCAACCCAGACCCAAUAGGCCUGGGCCUCUUGCGUAUCCUUAACACUACAUCCCACCUAGACAUGCAGCUCGUCCUCGAGCUACAACCUAACCAACUUAUAAUGAUGACUCGACUUGACACAAACUAACACCUAAAAAUAAGCCUUUUACAUCUCGGCUUAUUUUAGGCCUACCCCUACAGGAUGCCCUACGAGGGGGCGGCCUCCACAGCCCUUCUGGCCACGCCUCCACCGUCGUCCUAGGGGUUCCCAUUACCCAGGUCAAGUUCCCGGCGGCACCUUCGCUGCUCCUGGCCUGGCUCGUCGACUCGUCGGCACCCAUCUAAACGACGGCGGGCACCCAAACCUAUGUACCGCCGCUGCCCUCUACUGGGGCGGGGCCUGCACACGGGGGCAUUUUCCCUUCGGGCACCCUGUACGGUGGCGUUGACAGGCCCCUGUUCCACGGCAGCAGCCAGCCUCGGCAUACGGGGACGCUUCAAGGAGUGCAGCACAUGCUUCUGUUCCUGAGCAGCCCCCGCCACAGUUCUACAAGCUUGAGUUCCAGACGUAGAGAUGCGGGCUUUCCUCGUCGGGCCUCAUGCGCCGCAGUUCCACCAGCCCCUGCCGCCGCCAACGACGACUUUUCAGCCGGCCUUGCUGGCGCCGCCCCUGCCCUUGACGUCGCCGGAUGUUGUGGCGGCGGCUAGGGCUGCCGUUGAGGAGAGAGAUGGCAGCUGCCGCGCUACAGUACCCGCGGAGCUACAGUACCCACGGUUACUGUUCGCAGUGGGUGUUACGCGGCAGCUAGGGCUGCGAGGGCGAGAGAAGGCCGGCCAGGGGCCUUGCCCACAGCCAGGCAAGAGGGCAGGGUUUCCUUCUUAAUUCUUGGUUGAUUAGAUUGAUACAUCUCCUCUCCUUAUAUAGAGAGGUUUACUUGACUUACAAGCAAGGCUUACUGACCCCUAAGCAAGCGACCCUUAUCUCUAAUUAACCCAAUAACACUAAUGGUCUAUGGCACCAACUCAGACCCAAUAGGUCCCUUACGUACUCUAACACUACACCCCACCUGAGCUGCAACCUAACCAACUUAUAAUGAUGACUCGACUCAACACACUUAAGAACAAGCCUUUUACAUCUCGGCUUAUUUUAUUAUUCUCAACCUGAAAUGGACUAGGAUGCUUUAUUUGAGACUCCUGCACGUAAGGUGGACACCAUCUGCAUGCCGGACCUGCACAGGUACAGCCACCUGGAUCCCAUGGAUACCUUUUUUUUCUCUAACAGCGCAGG